rnacentral:tRNA from 1 species
GGACCAUAGCUCAGUGGCAGAGCAUCUGCUUUGCAUGCAGAAGGUCCCAGGUUCAAUCCCUGGCAUCUCCA